GAUGAACGCUGGCGGCGUGCCUAAUACAUGCAAGUCGAGCGAACAGACGAGGAGCUUGCUCCUCUGACGUUAGCGGCGGACGGGUGAGUAACACGUGGAUAACCUACCUAUAAGACUGGGAUAACUUCGGGAAACCGGAGCUAAUACCGGAUAAUAUAUUGAACCGCAUGGUUCAAUAGUGAAAGACGGUUUUGCUGUCACUUAUAGAUGGAUCCGCGCCGCAUUAGCUAGUUGGUAAGGUAACGGCUUACCAAGGCGACGAUGCGUAGCCGACCUGAGAGGGUGAUCGGCCACACGGGAACUGAGACACGGUCCAGACUCCUACGGGAGGCAGCAGUAGGGAAUGUUCCGCAAUGGGCGAAAGCCUGACGGAGCAACGCCGCGUGAGUGAUGAAGGUCUUCGGAUCGUAAAACUCUGUUAUUAGGGAAGAACAAAUGUGUAAGUAACUAUGCACGUCUUGACGGUACCUAAUCAGAAAGCCACGGCUAACUACGUG
rnacentral:rRNA from 1 species